GUGGAGACCUUACUUCAUAUCAGGCUGUCAAACUGUUGGAGCAAGACGCAAAGUUUACAAGGAUGGAGCAGAGCAGAUGCAUCCAAACCUUUCACCCCAAAGAGCCCCUAAGUAAGGAUCCAGUGACUGGGGAUCCCCACUGUCCCUGAAGAGGCAGGAAGCAGCAUGUCUACCUCUCAUCAUAUCAAUCUCUGCCUCCUUCACAAGACGCCACUGUCAGUGGUGCCAGCAGAGACACAAACACAGAGAGAGAGGAUGAGUAGGAGGAAGCUGAUGGUGAUGGAAGGAUCAGCAUCUCUUCAUUUAUCUGCAGGACGCUGGAGGAAGAGCCCCAGCUGAGAGAGGGGUUAAUAUUUCUCCAGUCAAACUUCUGGGGAGCAUUCUGACUCGUCCCCUCAGUGAACACAAGAUGGCUAGCAUCACAUAGAGUGCUUCAAAGAUGUUUUCCUUGACCCGCCUUCCCAACGACAUAUGAACUUGGACAGACUCUGAAAGAAAGCAGGUUCUCUCUUGGACAGGCUGUGGGAGUUGUGCUUGCAGGUGGGAGCCUGAUACAGUUGAAGAGGCAGUGAGGAGUGACUGCCCUCUGAGAUGGCUGCCUGCAAGAUGCAGGGUGGGCUGGGCGGUCAUGUCUGUUAUGUCUCUUUCAUUUAUUUAUAAUGCUUUUUUUUCUCUUGAUUGUGCCUUUAUGAAAACUCAUAUAAAUAUAGAAACAUUACCCUACCAAAUCACAUUUUCUGAGCAUGAAGCUACGCUCUAGCCUGAGGUAAAUUUAGCUCAACUGUGCAGCAGUCAAACUAUUGACAAAAACUAAAAGCAAAUCAAUGGAUCAUGUAACAUCUUACCAUACCCUUUUUGCUGUUUUUUUGGUUUUAGACUUCAGCAGUUCAAGUGUUUACAUCUAUAUUUAACAUCUAGUUAAAUGCAGACUUGGCAAAAGCCCAGUAAGCGGUAAUGUGGGUAAUAUCAAUGUUAUUGGUUUUGAUUCUAUAUCAUCAUGCUUCUGUUGAGAGAAGCACACUUUGAUUCUGGUUUAAGCCAAAUCAGAUAAGCGGAGCACUCUCGCCAAUUACUGAAAAUCAUUUGCCCCUGAGCUCAUCCAUGGAUUUACAACAUGGAAGUCUUAAUUUGGACCAUUCACUUUUUCCCUCUCAGACCUUAAAGCUCCUGUGAAGACCUUUUGAUUUUUGGUUUCGGUGCCCCCUGUGGACAAAGCAGUACCUUUUAUCUUAAUGUUUCUUCACAAAAAAGAAAUCAGCCUGUUUUUAGUAAAAUUUAUCUUUGGUAUGGAUUUUUUAAAAUGCUGCCACUGCAGUGUGAUGGUAAAUUAGUCUUCCACCUACCCUGCAGCAGCAGAGAGAGGCAUAUAGUAGGCUAUAACUUUAAUCAAUCUUCUUGCUAUUUGUCUUAUUUGCCUUCAUAGGUCAUAAAGAGGCUUCAGCAUUCAUUUCAGUUUAUUUCAUUACCAGUAAAAAAAUCCUCACUGGAGCUUUAACGAUAUUACACAUGGCCUAACUCUUG